rnacentral:rRNA from 1 species
GAGUACGGCCGCAAGGUUAAAACUCAAAUGAAUUGACGGGGGCCCGCACAAGCGGUGGAGCAUGUGGUUUAAUUCGAUGCAACGCGAAGAACCUUACCUGGUCUUGACAUCCACGGAAGUUUUCAGAGAUGAGAAUGUGCCUUCGGGAACCGUGAGACAGGUGCUGCAUGGCUGUCGUCAGCUCGUGUUGUGAAAUGUUGGGUUAAGUCCCGCAACGAGCGCAACCCUUAUCCUUUGUUGCCAGCGGUCCGGCCGGGAACUCAAA